GUGAAUCAUCGAAUCUUUGAACGCAAAUUGCACUCUCUGGCAUUCCGGAGAGUAUGCCUGUUUGAGGGUCAGUUUAAAUAAAAAUCGGUGUGGGUGCUGCCUUUUGUGGUGACGCACCGGAUUUGGGACGUCUUGUCUUCGGUUAAGUGAGCUUAAAUUUUGCAUUAUUUUUUUCGAAUGUAUCGAACUGAUUUUAUGUAUGUUUGCGAUAUUGAAU
rnacentral:misc_RNA from 1 species